AUUGAACGCUGGCGGCAUGCCUUACACAUGCAAGUCGAACGGUAACGGGCCUUCGGGUGCCGACGAGUGGCGCACGGGGGAGUAAUGUAUCGGAACGUACCUUUCAGAGGGGGAAAACGUAGCGAAAGUUACGCUAAUACCGCAUAUUCUGUGAGCAGGAAAGCAGGGGAUCGCAAGACCUUGCCCUGUUUGAGCGGCCUAUAUCAGAUUAACAAGUUGGUGAGGUAAAGGCUCACCAAGGCGACGAUAUGUAGCGGGUCUGAGAGGAUGAUCCGCCACACUGGAACUGAGACACGGUCCAGACUCCUACGGGAGGCAGCAGUGGGGAAUUUUGGACAAUGGGGGCAACCCUGAUCCAGCCAUGCGGCGUGAGUGAAGAAGGCCUUCGGGUUGUAAAGCUCUUUCGGCCGGGAAGAAAUCGUAUGGGUUAAUACCCUGUGCGGAUGACGGUACCGGCAUAAGAAGCACCGGCUAACUACGUGCCAGCCGCCGCAGUAAUAC
rnacentral:rRNA from 1 species